UACGGAGGGGGCUAGCGUUGUUCGGAAUUACUGGGCGUAAAGCGCACGUAGGCGGCUUUGUAAGUUAGAGGUGAAAGCCCAGGGCUUAACCCUGGAAUUGCCUUUAAGACUGCAUCGCUAGAAUCGUGGAGAGGUGAGUGGAAUUCCGAGUGUAGAGGUGAAAUUCGUAGAUAUUCGGAAGAACACCAGUGGCGAAGGCGGUUCUCUGGGCAUGUCCUGACGCUGAGGAGCGAAAGUGUGGGGAGCGAACAGG
rnacentral:rRNA from 1 species